rnacentral:rRNA from 1 species
UACGUAGGGUGCAAGCGUUGUUCGGAUUUACUGGGCGUAAAGGGCGCGUAGGCGGUCAGCACAAGUCAGUUGUGAAAUCUCCGGGCUUAACCCGGAAACUGCCAUUGAUACUAUUUGUCUUGAAUACUGUGGAGGUCAGCGGAAUAUGUCAUGUAGCGGUGAAAUGCUUAGAUAUGACAUAGAACACCAAUUGCGAAGGCAGCUGGCUACACAAAUAUUGACACUGAGGCACGAAAGCGUGGGGAUCAAACAGG